CUGAAUGUCUAUGUGAAUAGCCAAACCCAUUUUCGACCCGAGUAUAUUAGCCACAUAAUAAACCCUAAUUUGUGAGACUUCAUUUUUUCCUUCUGUAAAAUCUAUCAACCCUAACCAAUCUCAUCACCGUUCGUCCCUGUUUCGUCAUUUGUUUCCAUCAUCAACAUCUUAAUCGUUGUAAAGGUAUGUUUCUUCAUCAGAGUUCCAUCAUCGCCGACUAUAUAAGGGUUCUAAAAUACCUAAAUCCAUCCUUUCAUUCAACACCUGUUUCUCUUCCUGUGUGUCCGUCACAAACCCUAAUGGCGAACACCUCUAUCAAAAUCAGCUUUCUUCUUUGUCGUUUCACAUCUGGUGUACGAUGAGUUGCGGCGGCUAGGGUUGCGCUGGAACUCAACGACUUAGAUGAUCAGAGGUUAUCUUUCUUUGUUAUAUCUGAUUUGGAGUCCCUUUGCUUUUGGAUUUGCAAGUAAGUUUUUUGUGUUAGUUUUUUUUAAUGUUUGUAAAAAUGCCUGUAUAUUGUAUGAAGAAUAAAUUUCGGUAAAUUAUACUUCAUAUCCCACUCCAAAUUUUAAUAUGGGAUGCUUGAUUUUAUUAAAAAAGAUCAUGUGCAUUGCCUCCUACUUUUAGGAAUGUCAUUAGUGUACAUUUGGUUGUAAGAAGGCUGUAAAGAGGAGGUUUGUAAGAGCUUUUUUUCCUGUUAUUAUUUUAGUCCUAAUUUUAUACUGUAUAUUUACUCUCUAUCUUAACUGCAGGUGAGGGUGAAAUGGGUAUUAGUGAGCAUAUGAUAAAUCCUAACACUUGCUUUACUAGGUUUUAUGUUUUAUAACUAUAUUGAGCCGAAUCGAUGACAUAUAUAUUUUUUGUGUAUUUUUUAUGUUGUUUUUACGUUUGUUUUAUGCUGAUUUUUGUUAGCUACAUUUAAGGUUAAGUGUUUAUUUUACAUUGCUUUAUUCGUUGGGGGGAAAAGGAGGUAGUCGUUGGGAGAUUUUGGCCAUUAAGGGAGAGCCUUAUGAAGUUGCACUCUAGAGCCCAAGAAAAUAAGAAACCAGGUCAGAAACGAUUCCUCGCACGUUUAUGUAUAUGGUACAGAGCAACCUAAGCAAGGAAGCAAGAAAAUAGGAAAAGGCUACACUUUUUAUUAUUUCCGUUUGGUAGGUUUAGUAACACUUGCUACUUAAUCUUUUUUACUGUUUUGGGCACCAUUAAAGACUUUAAUGGGUUCGCGGAACCUUGGAUUUGAGAGGGAAUUUAUGUUUUUGUAAUUGCUCUUUGCUAGCAACCUACUGGCAUUUUAAUAAAAUUAAUCAUAUUGUUAAAAAAAAGAUUCAUCACAUUUUUUAUUUCUUUGAAAGGUCAAUUCUGGAAAGCCGUUACAAAAUUGGAUUUGCGAAAACUGUUUAGGGGUAAAGAAAAGAUUAGUAAUGAGAUUCUAGGUUGGAUUUGCAAAAACUAUUUUGGUUAUGAUGGUUAGGCACCAGAACUUUGUUAUGUAUUGGUGGAAACAUGUUGGCAUAUUGGGGGGAUCAAUGGAAUCUGACACGUUAAAUUAACAUACAAAAGCAUUUUGGGUGAGAUUAACAUACAAAAGUAUUGGUUUUAACUUGUUACCAGUUUGCCGCAUGUAAGUUUUAUUUUUAUGAACCGAGAAAUCUACCUCUUUGACCCGUUGUAUUAUUACACAUAUGACCCAUUAUCUGAUAAUAUUUGUUCUUUUGUAACAAGUCAAAAAUGUCAUUUUAAAUACUUGGAAGAACAGGAGUCAACAAACUCUGAUGAUUCUACCCAAAUGGUGCUGGACAAAUAGGUGCUGGAAUAGGCUUCUGGUGAAACCAUGGCUUAAGUCAGGUACUUUAUUUUAAAUGACGUGGCAUGUUUACAUAUGGAUAUUGGUUUGACGAAUGAAGCAAGAAUCAGUUAACACAAACCUUAUGGUGUUUUAGGUUAUAUUGACAGUGGUGGAGCAACAAACGAAUCAUAACGGACUGGUUUUUAUGGAGCGAUUCACUGAGUCAUUGCAUUAUUAUUAGACGCCUUUUUUACUCGCUUGAAAGUAGUGUUGGUGUCAUUUUGUUGGCGAGUGAUCACCAUAAAGUUAUGUCAGAGGUGUAUAUGGGAUAUUUGGUGGUGGUGCCUGCAAAAACUACACUUAUUCACCUAAUCCAAAAGGCGGUUAACCGCUUAUGUUAUAUAUACAGGUACAAAUAAGGUCACCAAAACUAUGUUAUACAUCCAGCCCUCUUACAUUAAAACCCAACCAAUUUUCCUAGUUGGAGUAUAAGGUGGCAAAGAGUGGGAGGGUGAUCGGGAGUGCAAGGUUUAUUCAUAUGGAGACGUUGAGUACAUUAGAUGAGUAGUCACAUGACAUGAGUCACAAGACGAUGAGUAACAACACAAAACAAAAGCAAAGUUAAAGCCAAACGGGCUGCACACAAGAUUUUCUUAGAUGUGGCCCAGGCUGGCUCCAAGAUGGGAAGUUUGUUUACAGACUCAUCUAUCUUAGCGAUCUGAUGCGGUUUUUGACACAAGAUGAAGCUGUGAUGACCACAUCUCUUCUGGUAGGAUCAGUGGGAGAUGAAAAGUUAGUAAAAAGGGCUUUGAAGACAUUAGGUGGUUAAUACAUUAAGAGAAUGAAAAGCAAUGGCCUUAGACACUAAAAGAUACGUAAACAAUAGUCAACAAACUGCACCAAAUGGUGAAUGUGUUUGCUGGCAUCAUUAUUGUGAUUUGCUGGCAUUUUAGCUUUCAAAUUUUUAACAUUUAUUUAUCUUUAUUUUUAGACUCUGGUUAAUUUAAUUAGGGAUAUGAGGCGUUUAUAGCUGUUUUUAGGUUGCAUCGACCUCACAUAUUCAUUUUCUUCUAGGCAGACUUUCAUGUUAUUUACGGUGCCCUCACAAUGA